rnacentral:rRNA from 1 species
AUUGAACGCUGGCGGCAGGCUUAACACAUGCAAGUCGAGCGCGCGGCGGACGGGUGAGUAAUGUCUGGGAAUCUGCCUGAUGGAGGGGGAUAACUACUGGAAACGGUAGCUAAUACCGCAUACCAUCAGAUGUGCCCAUAUGGGAUUAGCUCGUAGGUGGGGUAAUGGCUCACCUAGGCGACGAUCACUAGCUGGUCUGAGAGGAUGACCAGCCAGACUGGAACUGAGACACGGGCCAGAAGCCUACGGUAGGCAGCAGUGGGGAAUAUUGCACAAUGGGCGCAAUGCUGAUGCAGCCGUGCCGCCUGUGUGAAGAAGGCCGUAGGGUUGUAAAGCAGGUUCAGCGGGGAGGCGUUACUCGCAGAAUAAGCACCGGCUAACUACGUGCGAGCAGCCGCGGUAAUUC